UACGUAGGGGGCAAGCGUUGUCCGGAUUUAUUGGGCGUAAAGAGCGUGUAGGCGGUUAGGUAGGUCCGUUGUGAAAACUCGAGGCUCAACCUCGAGACGCCGAUGGAAACCAUCUGACUAGAGUCCGGAAGAGGAGAGUGGAAUUCCUGGUGUAGCGGUGAAAUGCGCAGAUAUCAGGAAGAACACCCGUGGCGAAGGCGGCUCUCUAGUACGGUACUGACGCUGAGACGCGAAAGCGUGGGGAGCGAACAGG
rnacentral:rRNA from 1 species